UAACUUCCCUCAGGGUCUCGCUGAGUAUUAUGUCCCCUGCACCUUAAGCAAAAAACCGCUCAUCAUCCUUCACUUCCUGCUUCGGCUCAAGUUCAGUCCUGCUUUGUGCUUCACAAACUCCAGAGAAGCAGCACACUGACUGUAUUUG